GCCCAGAUAGCUCAGUUGGGAGAGCGUCAGACUGAAGAUCUGAAGGUCAUGUGUUCGAUCCACAUUGUGGGCA
rnacentral:tRNA from 1 species